UGACACAGGAAUGUGAAAUGAUCAUCUUUUCUGUUUUAUUUUAGUCUCCGUUGUUUACAUAUACAAAGAGAUUAGAGAUCAGAGAUCAAGCAAAAUGAAAAGAAAUAAGUCGUUCUCAACCUGCAUCCUUUCCACUUCACUGGAUUUUCAUUUGCAUUUAUGAAAGAUAUGAAAGCAAAAAAAAAAGUUUUCAGGUGUCUGCCGAAGACAAUAAAUAUUGGCACCCCCAUGGGAAUAACAGCACAGCACUGAAAUAGAGGUUGUCCACAUGGAAUCGGCAUCUUAUCUUUGAAUGUCCGAAAUCUUCACGAAGCGGAAUCCACCUGGAGCUGGAGCCUCAGGAACCUCGCCGGGUUGGCCUCUUCUUACUAAAGAUGUGCACAGACUAUCUAUUAAUUUAAUCCAUCGACUAGAGCAUUACAACCCCACCUACAGGACGAGAGAUCACUGUUCCCCACCUACAGCACAUACAGUACUUAAAGCACCUAAAGUACCUACAGCACCUAAAAUACCUAAAGUAUCUAAAGUACUUACAGCAUCUACAGCACCUAAAGUACUUACAGUAUCUACAGUACCUACAGGACCUCUACAGUAUCUACAGCACUUACAGUAUCUACAGCACUUAAUGUACCUACAGUAUCUACAGGACCUCUACAGUACCUACAGCACCUAAAGUACCUACAGGACCUCUACAGUACCUACAGCACCUAAAGUACCUACAGGACCUCUACAGUACCUACAGCACCUAAAGUACCUACAGGACCUCUACAGUACCUACAGCACCUAUAGUACAUACAGUAUCUAUAGCACUUAAUGUACCUACAGGACCUCUACAGUACAUACAGUAUCUACAGCACUUAAUGUACCUACAGGACCUCUACAGUACAUAUAGUAUCUACAGCACUUAAUGUACCUACAGCACCUCUACAGUACCUACAGCACCUACAGUAUCUACAGCACUUAAUGUACCUACAGGACCACUACAGUACCUACAGUAUCUACAGCACUUAAUGUACCUACAGGACCACUACAGUACCUACAGUAUCUACAGCACUUAAUGUACCUACAGGACCUCUACAGUACCUACAGCACCUACAGUAUCUACAGCACUUAAUGUACCUACAGGAUCUCUACAGUACCUACAGCACCUACAGUAUCUACAGCACUUAAUGUACCUACAGGACCUCUACAGUACCUACAGCACCUACAGUAUCUACAGCACUUAAUGUACCUACAGGAUCUCUACAGUACCUACAGCACCUAAGGUAUCUACAGCACUUAAUGUUCCUACAGGAUCUCUACAGUACCUACAGCACCUACAGUAUCUACAGCACUUAAUGUACCUACAGGAUCUCUACAGUACCUACAGCACCUACAGUAUCUACAGCACUUAAUGUACAUAAAGAACCUACAGGACCUCUACAGUACCUACAGCACAGGGAAACUAUGCAUGAAGAAUAUAUAAUGUAACCUGAUAUUAUGUAAGUGGCGUCUUGUGUAUAUUGCACCUGGUGAUUAAAAAUAAUAAUAAUGAAGAAUACAUUAAUAAAAAUCUAAUAUAAUAAUUAAUAAAAUGGUCUGAAUAUCCAGGUGAAUACAGCACAUUACAGGUUUCCAGAUUCUUCCAGGUUUCCAGGUUACUUCUUUAUUUAUUCUUUGUGAAAUACGUAAAUACAGCCGAAUGACGCAAUCUGCCUGGGUGUGCCGGUAGUGAGUGGGUUAAUGUUGCGUGUUGGGCUAACAGAAUACAGUAAAUCACUAAACCUGAUGGCCUCUGACCCCAUUCUAUUGUGGUGUAUUUAUACUUGAAGGAAUUCCAGCACUUCCUUCGACCCAAAUAUGGUCAUUUCCCCUGGAGUCCUGUACUUGAAGUUCUAUAAACUCCCUCUCUUAAAGGUACAGGCCACAUCCUGUUGGAUAUCUCACACGCACACACACUCACAAGUUCCACUAGUGUAAUAAUCAAAUAAUAGCUUUCCUUUUAAGCCUUUGCUGUAAUGUACUUAUUCAUUGAGUGUUUAUUACAUUAAGAAGCUCAUGCCUACAGAUUUGAGAGUUUUCUCCGUCCAACACUUACUGUAAAAUCUGCACUCGUUUAAAAUCUGUCAAUUUUCUUAAUGAUGACAGUAAUAGCAUGAACAAAUCCUACAUCUCUCACUCCAUCAACUCCUUCAAUUUCACCU